UAUGUGAUCGUCUCUCGCAUAUCAAUAAGCGGAGGAAAAGAAACUAACAAGGAUUCCCCUAGUAACGGCGAGUGAAGCGGGAAGAGCUCAAAUUUGAAAUCUUAAAGGGUUUCCCUUUACGAAUUGUAGUUUAAAGGAGUGUUUUCUGUUGAGGUUUUGGUAAAAGUUCUUUGGAAUAGGACAUCAUAGAGGGUGAGAAUCCCGUAUUUGACCUUUACUUUCAACUUUGUGAUACACUUUCAAAGAGUCGGAUUGUUUGGGAAUGCAGUCCAAAAUGGGUGGUAAAUUUCAUCUAAAGCUAAAUAUUGGCGAGAGACCGAUAGCGAACAAGUACCGUGAGGGAAAGAUGAAAAGAACUUUGAAAAGAGAGUUAAACAGUACGUGAAAUUGUCAAAAGGGAAGCGUUUGACACCAGUGUUGUUUUUCUGAAAAUCAAUUAAAGAACUGUUUAUGCUAAGCUGUUUAGACUUUAUCAGCUAAUCUGUUUAGUUUUGAGCUUUUCUUUAAUGCACUUUUCAGUUAACAAGUCAACAUCAAUUUCUUUUGCUGUAAAAAAGCUUGAGGAAGGUGGCUUGAGAUUCGUCUUAAGUGUUUAUAGCCUCUUGCCUAUGCAGUCGGAGAGAUUGAGGUCUGCAGCGUAGAUCCUUCGGGGCUAAAUGCAUUUGUGCUAAGUUAUAGCAUUUUAUAGACAACUUGUUGACUAUGAUUUGUCUUGUAGCUUACUCGCUUAUGUUAUUUUACCUACGCUUAGGAUGUUGACUGAUAUGUAGUCGU
rnacentral:rRNA from 1 species